rnacentral:rRNA from 1 species
UACGUAGGGUGCAAGCGUUGUCCGGAAUUAUUGGGCGUAAAGAGCUCGUAGGCGGUCUGUCGCGUCGGCUGUGAAAACUCGGGGCUCAACUCCGAGCUUGCAGUCGAUACGGGCAGGCUAGAGUUCGGCAGGGGAGACUGGAAUUCCUGGUGUAGUGGUGAAAUGCGUAGAGAUCGGCAGGAACACCCAGGGGGAAACCAGUGGACUGGCACGGAGCUGACGCUCAGGUGCGAAAGCGUGGGGAGCGAACCGG